UACGGAGGGAGCUAGCGUUGUUCGGAAUUACUGGGCGUAAAGCGCACGUAGGCGGCGAUUCAAGUCAGAGGUGAAAGCCCGGGGCUCAACCCCGGAACUGCCUUUGAAACUAGAUUGCUAGAAUCCUGGAGAGGCGAGUGGAAUUCCGAGUGUAGAGGUGAAAUUCGUAGAUAUUCGGAAGAACACCAGUGGCGAAGGCGACUCGCUGGACAGGUAUUGACGCUGAGGAGCGAAAGCGUGGGGAGCAAACAGG
rnacentral:rRNA from 1 species